rfam:Streptomyces sp. DSM 15324 genomic scaffold PRJNA299231_s022, whole genome shotgun sequence.
CUUCACCGACCCGAGCCACAGGGGCUGUUCGCGGUCCUGUCCGUAGGUGGCGAGCAGGGCCUGUGCCUC